rnacentral:rRNA from 1 species
CGUGCAGGCGGGUCUGCAAGUCUGAUGUGAAAGCCCCGGGCUCAACCUGGGAAGUGCAUUGGAAACUGUGGAUCUUGAGUUCUGGAGAGGAAGGGGGAAUUCCCGGUGUAGAGGUGAAAUUCGUAGAGAUCGGGAGGAAUACCAGUGGCGAAGGCGCCCUUCUGGACGGCAACUGACGCUGAGACGCGAAAGCGUGGGGAGCAAACAGGAUUAGAUACCCUGGUAGUCCACGCUGUAAACGAUGAGCACUAGGUGUAGCGGGUACUCAUUCCUGCUGUGCCGCAGCUAACGCGUUAAGUGCUCCGCCUGGGGAUUACGGUCGCAAGACUAAA